UGGGGAAUAUUGGACAAUGGGCGAAAGCCUGAUCCAGCCAUGCCGCGUGUGUGAAGAAGGUCUUCGGAUUGUAAAGCACUUUAAGUUGGGAGGAAGGGCAGUAAGCGAAUACCUUGCUGUUUUGACGUUACCGACAGAAUAAGCACCGGCUAACUCUGUGCCAGCAGCCGCGGUAAUACAGAGGGUGCAAGCGUUAAUCGGAAUUACUGGGCGUAAAGCGUGCGUAGGCGGCUAAUUGAGUCGGAUGUGAAAUCCCCGAGCUUAACUUGGGAAUUGCAUUCGAUACUGGUUAGCUAGAGUGUGGGAGAGGAUGGUAGAAUUCCAGGUGUAGCGGUGAAAUGCGUAGAGAUCUGGAGGAAUACCGAUGGCGAAGGCAGCCAUCUGGCCUAACACUGACGCUGAGGUACGAAAGCAUGGGGAGCAAACAGG
rnacentral:rRNA from 1 species